rnacentral:rRNA from 1 species
GACGAACGCUGGCGGCGUGCUUAACACAUGCAAGUCGAACGGAAAGGCCCUGCUUUUGUGGGGUGCUCGAGUGGCGAACGGGUGAGUAACACGUGAGUAACCUGCCCUUGACUUUGGGAUAACUUCAGGAAACUGGGGCUAAUACCGGAUAGGAGCUCCUGCUGCAUGGUGGGGGUUGGAAAGUUUCGGCGGUUGGGGAUGGACUCGCGGCUUAUCAGCUUGUUGGUGGGGUAGUGGCUUACCAAGGCUUUGACGGGUAGCCGGCCUGAGAGGGUGACCGGCCAACUUGGGAAUGGGGUUCCGCCCAGGCUCCUACGGGGGGGAAGAGGGGGGGAUAUUGGAACAUGGGCGGAAGCCUGAUGCCGCAACGGCGGGGGGGGGAUGAAGGCCCUCGGGGUGGAAACCGCUUUCGCCUGUGACGAAGCGUGAGUGACGGUAAUGGGUAAAGAAGCACCGGCUAACUACGUG